rnacentral:lncRNA from 1 species
GGGAGGUGCAAGCUGAGCCUGCACUACCUUUUGUCACGGUUGCUAUGGAAAAGAUUAAGAGCCCGGAUAGCCCUUCCUCCUCUGGGGGCCUGGGCAUCAGCAAGUCGGAUGGCAGUGGAAGGUGGAGAAAUGGAAUCCUGCUGGGGGCUCAGGAGGCCUGCCCCCUGAUGCUGCCGUGCACUGCAGAUGUCCUUGAUGAAGAGAAUGAAUGGAAGCUGUCUUUCUCAAUGGCAAAAGGGCAUACUGCUGUUAUUGUCAGUGAGGGGUCAGUAGUUUAAAUGAUGAAACUCUGGGGAUCAGCGUAAAGUAAACCAACAUACUGCAUGUAAAUUCCUCAUUCUUACUGCUGUGAGAACAAUUGUUAGGAGCCAAAAACUUCAGAGCUUUCAAAGAACUGUAAUGAGAUAGCACAAUGCAGGCAAAAAGCCAGUGUU